CCCUGGCAGUCAGAGGCGAUGAAGGACGUGCUAAUCUGCGAAAAGCGCCGGCGAGGUGAUAUGAACCUUUGACCCGGCGAUGUCCGAAUGGGGAAACCCAGUGCAAUCCGUUGCACUAUCGUUAACUGAAUACAUAGGUUAACGAGGCGAACCGGGGGAACUGAAACAUCUAAGUACCCCGAGGAAAAGAAAUCAACCGAGAUUCCCCCAGUAGCGGCGAGCGAACGGGGAGCAGCCCGGAGUCUGAAUCAGCUUGUGUGUUAGUGGAACGGUCUGGAAAGUCCGACGGUACAGGGUGAUAGUCCCGUACACGAAAAUGCACAUGCUGUGAACUCGAAGAGUAGGGCGGGACACGUGGUAUCCUGUCUGAAUAUGGGGGGACCAUCCUCCAAGGCUAAAUACUCCUGACUGACCGAUAGUGAACCAGUACCGUGAGGGA
rnacentral:rRNA from 2 species